AACGAACGCUGGCGGCAGGCUUAACACAUGCAGGUCGAGCGCCCCGCAAGGGGAGCGGCAGACGGGUGAGUAACGCGCGGGAAUCUACCCAUCUCUACGGAAUAACGCAUGGAAACGUGUGCUAAUACCGUAUACGUUCUUCGGGAGAAAGAUUUAUCGGAGAUGGAUGAGCCCGCGUUGGAUUAGCUAGUUGGUGGGGUAAAGGCCUACCAAGGCGACGAUCCAUAGCUGGUCUGAGAGGAUGAUCAGCCACACUGGACUGAGACACGGCCCAGACUCCUACGGGAGGCAGCAGUGGGGAAUAUUGGACAAUGGGCGCAAGCCUGAUCCAGCCAUGCCGCGUGAGUGAUGAAGGCCCUAGGGUUGUAAAGCUCUUUCACCGGUGAAGAUAAUGACGGUAACCGGAGAAGAAGCCCCGGCUAACUUCGUGCCAGCCGCCGCCGUAAAAC
rnacentral:rRNA from 1 species